rnacentral:tRNA from 1 species
GGAGUGAUGCCUGAAAAUCAAAGGGUUAUUUUGAUGGAAUAAACCAUGUUUACGACUCCUCCCA